AAAAUAAAGAAAAGAAAAAAAUAAAGAAAAGAAAAAAUA
rnacentral:ribozyme from 13 species